UAAGGAAUAUUGGACAAUGGAGGCAACUCUGAUCCAGCCAUGCCGCGUGAAGGAAUAAGGCCCUAUGGGUUGUAAACUUCUUUUAGACGGGACAAAACCCCUUUACGUGUAAAGGGUUGAUGGUACUGUCAGAAUAAGCAUCGGCUAACUUCGUGCCAGCAGCCGCGGUAAUACGAAGGAUGCAAGCGUUAUCCGGAAUUAUUGGGUUUAAAGGGUGCGUAGGCGGACUAAUAAGUCAGUGGUGAAAGCCUGCAGCUUAACUGCAGAAUUGCCAUUAAUACUGUUAGUCUUGAGUACAGUUGAGGUAGGCGGAAUGUGUCAUGUAGCAGUGAAAUGCUUAGAUAUGACACAGAACACCGAUUGCGAAGGCAGCUUGCUAAGCUGUAACUGACGCUGAGG
rnacentral:rRNA from 1 species